rnacentral:rRNA from 1 species
UAAUGAUACGCUCGUUUCAAAGAUUAAGCCAUGCAAGUGUAAGUGCAUGUCGUUGUAUGACAAAACCGCAAACUGCUCAUUAAAUCAGAUAUAAUUUAUUGGUUCAUAUCUGACUUGUUGGAUAACUGUAGUAAUUCUGGAGCUAAUACAUUAACCGAAGAAAGUCCUAUCGUGCGGUAGGACGGGUUUAUUAGAUCAAAACCAAUCGUAUGAAAAUACGUUUGCUAUGAUAACUCUGGAUAACCAUACUACUCGCAUGGCCUCGUGUCGGCGGUUUUUCCAUCAAGUAUCUGCCCUAUCAACUUUAUGGUAGGAUAUAGGCCUACCAUGGUUUUUACGGGUAACGGGGAAUCAGGGUUCGAUUCCGGAGAGGCAGCCUGAGAAACGGCUACUACAUCCAAGGAAGGCAGCAGGCGCGUAAAUUACCCAAUCACGGAUGGGUGGAGGUAGUGACGGAAAGUAACAAUACGGGACUCAUAGAGGCUCCGUAAUUGGAAUGAAAGGACUUCAAAAAGGUUUUUGAAGACUAUUGGAGGGCAAGUCUGGUGCCAGCAGCCGCGGUAAUUCCAGCUCCAACAGCGUAUAUUAAUGUUGUUGCAGUUAAAAAGCUCGUAGUUGAUUGUUAGGAUUUGAAAAUGAUGUGCAUCUUUGAUGUAACAUUAUGAUCUGCCUUACAAUGUUUGACAUCAUUAGAUGAUCUUCGUCGGUUGUCUUUUGUAGCGGACAGUUUUACUGUGAAAAAAUUAGAGUGCUCGAAGCAGGCAAAUGCUUGUAUAUUAUUGCAUGGAAUAAUAAAAUAGGACUUUGUUUCUAUUUUGUUGGCUUUCGGAAAUGGAGUAAUGAUUAAUAGAGACAGGCGGGGGCAUUUGUAUGCUGGCGUUAGAGGUGAAAUUCUGAGAUCGUCGGCAGACAAACAACUGCGAAAGCAUUUGUCAAGAAUGUCUUCAUUAAUCAAGAACGAAAGUUAGAGGUUCGAAGACGAUCAGAUACCGUCCUAGUUCUGACCAUAAACUCUGCCACCUGACAAUUCGUGAUGGUAUUAUAUUUCCGCACGAGCAGUCACCGGGAAACCGUAAGUUUGCGGGUUCCGGGGGAAGUAUGGUUGCAAAGCUGAAACUUAAAGGAAUUGACGGAAGGGCACCACCAGGAGUGGAGCUUGCGGCUUAAUUUGACUCAACACGGGAAAACUCACCCGGCCCGGACACUGUGAGGAUUGACAGAUUAAAAGCUCUUUCUUGAUUCGGUGGAUGGUGGUGCAUGGCCGUUCUUAGUUCGUGGAUCGAUUUGUCUGGUUAAUUCCGAUAACGAACGAGACUCAUUCCUGCUAAUUAGGGUGUCUAACUACAUGUUGUAGGGCAUUUCCUACUUCUUAGAGGAAUAAGUGAUAUUUUUUAGUCAUAAGAGAUUGAGCAAUAACAGGUCUGUGAUGCCCUCAGAUGUCCGGGGCUGCACACGUGCUACAAUGGCAAUCCCAGCAAGAAUUCCUAUCUCGAAAGGGAUGGGGAAUCUUCUGAAUGAUUGUCGUGACUGGAACUGAUGAUUGAAAUUAUUCCUCAUGAACGAGGAAUUCCUAGUAAGGGCAAGUCAUUACCUUGUGCUGACUAUGUCCCUGCCCUUUGUACACACCGCCCGUCGCUACUACCGAUUGAGUGGUUAAGUGAGGUAAUUAGAUUGGACACAAAGAAACAUUUAUGUUUUUGCGUUUCUGAGAAGAUUUCCAAACUUGAUUACUUAGAGGAAGUAAAAGUCGUAACAAGGUUUCCGU